CUGGAAACAGCCACUCGUGGCGGCGUUGGUACACCGAAUAUCCCUGCACAAACCUCAACGGCACAACGGCAUUAUCAGACGACCGAAGUUCUUCCUGCUCCAAAGGUAACCUAUCGUCAGCUACCUGGCCCGGAGUGGAGCGGACCUGUGCCACUAAUCACCUGGGGGCGCGGUUACGCAGCUGUAUCAACACCAAGCGGCCCGCUCUGGGUACCUGCACGAUACGUUCGACCAUACAAGGAUGGCGUGGCAUCAGGGACUGAGCAACCCCAUCCCUGACUUCAACAUACACUUAUAUGAUGAACAAGGAAAAGUGACAACGGGCCGAAAACGAGGGGGCCAACGAAAUGCACCUGCCACAUGGGGCCAAGUAAAGAACCUAGCUAAUCAGGCUGAACAACUGUUGGAAAAAACAGGACAAGAGAAAACGGCAGAGAACUAUAUGAUGGCAUUAAUAGCCUCCUUAAAUGCCAAUUCUGUACUUUUGUUAACAAUAAUUAUUUUCAGUUUAACUACUGUCCCUACGGAAGGGGGGCCGAUAGUGACUGG